rnacentral:misc_RNA from 1 species
ACUCCACAUUUUUUUCUUUUGGAAUUUGAUUGUAGGUUUAGUAGAGAAUCCCAAGUGUGGCACACGAGGAAGAUAGUCGCAAAAUGAGUGGUCCAAGUGAUACGGAUCUGAUUUUAGCUCUUUUGAGUACGGACAACGAUAUAAGAUCCGCAGCAGAGAAAAAAUAUGAGGAGUUGGAGUCGAAGACGAAGUUCCUCAUGCUCUUCGAGCGCCUUUCCAACAAACAAAAUCUUGUAGCAGUGGAGGGACGACAACUCUGUGCUGUCCUUCUUCGUCAGCUCUUUUCUGCGGACUUUGAGAAACUCUUCACUGCUCUUGGAGCAGAUCAGGAGCAUUUCAAGAAUGAGUGUUUGGAGGCAUUGCAUCGAGAGCCUGACAAAACUGUGCGCAAAAAAAUGGGAGACAUGGUUGCGGAAGUGGCAAUCAAUCUGAUCGACGUGGACGGAAACAACCGAUGGCCUCAAUUCCUUAAAUUCCUUUUCGACUCCACCAAUUCCCCUAAUGCAGAAAUUAAAGAAAUUGCAUUUCACUUAUUCAGCUCUGUUCCAAGUGUAUUUGGAAAUCAAGAAGCUGAACACUUUGAUACUAUUAAACAAAUGUUAAUGUCCGGUCUCAUGGAUCCCAACCACAUAGAGGUGCGUACAUCUGCCGCCAGAGCAUCCAUCAAAUUUCUUUUGACAAAGAUCGAAGACCCUCCCGCACAGAAGCGCUGCCAAGACAUGCUAACCCCAAUUCUUACGGUUACAAUGGAAACUAUCACUAAAGGAGUCGAUGAUACAGUUUUUAAAGCUUUAGUUGAACUUGCAGAGGGUAUCCCCAAAUAUUUGAGAGCACAGUUGGAUCAACUCUAUGGGGAAAUGAUCAAAUUGUUUUCUAAUGUUGAGUUAUGUUCAAAUUGGCGUUAUUUGGCUUUGGAAGUGGUUGUCACUCUGAGUGAAACAGCCCCUUCCAUGGUACGCAAUGUGGCUGGGAAUCAUAUUGGCACAGUUGUUCAAAAUAUUUUAAAAAUGAUGAUGGAAAUCGAGGAUGAGGAUGAUUGGGCUACAUCAGAUGAACUGGCCAAUGAAGACAGCGACUCUCAUUCUAUUGUUGCGGAAUCAGCGCUUGAUCGACUCGCCUGUGCUCUUGGAGGCAAGACUAUAUUUCCUCAUAUCCUAUCCUGUACACCAACCAUUCUUCAACAACCCGACUGGAAAUGCAGACACGCUGCCCUAAUGGCAAUAUCUGCUUCAGGAGAAGGAUGCCACAAGCAAAUGGAAGAAUAUCUUCCACAAAUUAUGGAAGGAGUUAUGAACUUUGUGAAUGAUCCACAUCCUCGUGUUAGAUACGCCUGUUGUCAAGCUAUUGGACAAAUGUCAACAGAUUUCGCCCCUUGUUUUGAGAAAAAGUUUCACGACAAAGUUAUUCCUGGCCUCUUACACCUUAUGGAUGACUCGGCCAAUCCCAGAGUUCAAGCUCAUGCUGGAGCGGCAUUGGUUAACUUUAGUGAAGAUUGCCCUAAAAAUAUUUUAACUCCAUACCUUGAUCCAAUUAUUCAAAAAUUAGAAGAAAUACUGUCCUCUAAAUUUAGAGAACUAGUUGAAAAAGGUAAUAAAAUGGUUUUGGAACAAAUUGUUACUACCAUUGCCUCUGUUGCCGAUACUGCGGAAGAAAAGUUUGUCAAUUACUAUGAUAGAUUUUUUCCUUGUCUUAAGUAUAUUAUUCAAAACGCGAAUACUCCUGAACUUCGCCUUCUUCGAGGAAAAACAAUAGAAUGUAUUUCGCUUAUUGGUCUUGCUAUUGGAGGUGAGAAAUUUGUCGCUGAUGCAGGAGAUAUUAUGGAUUUGUUACUCAAGACACAAACAGAAGAACCAAAUAAAGAUAUACCGGAUGACGAUCCACAAAUGUCUUAUAUAUUAGCGGCAUGGGCUCGUAUCUGUAAGAUACUAGGAUCUGGGUUUGCCCCAUACUUACCCCUUGUGAUGGGCCCCAUUAUGAAGGCAGUCUCCUCCCGAACUGAAGUUGUCUUUUUAAAAAAUGACGAGCUUGAAAAUGAGGAUGAUAUGGAUGAUUGGACCUUUGUGAGCCUGGGUAACGAUGAAAAUUUUGGAAUAAGAACCACUGGAUUGGAGGAAAAGGCAGCUGCUUGCCAAAUGUUGGUGUGCUAUGCACGUGAGCUCAAGGAACAUUUUGUUGAUUAUGUUGAAGACACAGUAAAGCUCAUGGUACCUAUGUUGAAAUUUCUUCUGCAUGAUAAAGUUAGAUCAACGGCUGCGGAUUCUUUUCCUUGUCUAUUAGAAUGUGCUCGAAUUCGUGGACCUGAAUACUUGCAAAGUACAUGGGAGUACAUAUGUCCAAAUUUGUUAACUGCCAUUGCAAUAGAAGUUGAUGUGGAUGUUAAGAUUGACUUUCUUCGUUCUCUUGCUAGAUGCAUUGAGCUGUUAGGCAUGGGAUGUCUUAAUAAUGAGCAAAUGCAAGAAUUGCUAGGCACUAUGAUCAAAUCAUUCACUGGUCAUUUCGAGAGACAAGAGGAAAGACUGGCAAAAAGGAAAGAGGAGGAUUAUGAUGAGGGUGUUGAAGAAAAGUUGGAAGACCAAAAUGAUGAUGACGUUUAUAUUCUUGAGCGACUUGGAGACAUCAUCCACGUUUUAUUUGCCACACAUAAAGAUGGUUUCUUGCCAGUUUUCAAUCAAAUUUUGCCAUUUGCAGUAAAGUUGUUGGGUCAAGAUCAUCCAUGGACGGAUCAACAAUGGGGUUUAUGUAUAUUUGAUGACCUCAUCGAAUACACAGGACCCGCUUCUUUGAAUUACCAAGAACAUUUUCUCAAUCCCAUGCUUCAUUACGUGAAUAGUCCUGUAGCAGAAGUGAGACAAGCUGCUGCAUAUGGGUGUGGUGUAAUGGGGCAGUUUGGAGGCCCUAGCUAUGCACAGAUUGUGUCUCAAGCAAUUCCUUUAUUAGUGAAAGCUAUUCAAGAAAAGCGAGCCGAUACUGAUUUUAACAAUCCGACAGAGAACGCCAUAUCUGCAGUUACUAAAAUACUCAAGUGGAACGCAACUGCUGUCAAUGUUGAUGAAAUUUUACUCCACUGGAUAAGUUGGUUGCCGGUAUAUGAGGAUUUAGAAGAAUCUCCGUACAUAUAUGCAUAUUUGGCUGAUUUAGUGGAAUCCAAUGAUCCCCGAAUUUUGGGAGCCAAUAAUGACAAUCUUCCCAAAAUAAUUGCAUUGAUAGCAGAGUCAUUUUGUUUAUGUGCUUUACCAACGGAUUGUGAGGCGUACAUUAGACUUGUCAAUCUUGUCAAACAUGUUCAGUUUUCAAGUGCCCAAUUGUUUGAAGUAUGCUUGACCUCGUUGUCAGAGCCUCAAAAGAGAGCGUUAAGUGAAGCACUUGCCGCUGUUCCUGUAGCCGCUGCACCUUAAAACAUGAUAGAAGAAGCAAACUUUUUUCACCAUUUAAUAUUAUAAGAAUAUGAUACAUGAGAAUUAUUGAGAAGUCGUUUUUUGGGCCUGUCAUAUCUCUACACUUUUAUCUGGUUAUGGGGUUAUUUAUUAGUUGACUUAUGUAAAUUUGUUUCUCUUACUUGAGUAUAUUCUCUUCUUAGAAAAUAUAGUUAUCAUAUACAUAUAUUCGUCCAGUAUUUAUCAGAUAGUUAUUUUUUUUAAUUUAAAAAAAUAAAUGAGAUUGUAUUAAACUACUUCUGUAGGAAAAAGUAAGGACAUUACCGAAAUGUAAUACGUAUCGUAUCGUGAUCAUACGGAUACAGUAAAACUAUAUACACUAAAUAAUUAUUAUGUCUGUUAUGUAUCUAAACUACAAAUGCCUCACCUCUGAAUUUAAAAGUAUAUAUAUCACGAUAUAUGUAUACGUUCAUAAAUUAUAUCCUCUUAAGUUGUAGAAUGAACUCGUACGUAUUUUGUGCUACUGAUUUAAUCUAUUUUUACUAUUAUCUAUGCUUACUUUUGUGUGUAAUGUGGCUCAAUAUUAAAUUUGAUUAAUAAUCAA